CAGUCAUGAACGAAUGGUUAGAAAUUUUCCCGACAGAAAACCAUAAAUAGUCUUUCCCUACAAUCAAAACAUAUUUUAAAGACUGUCCAAUCACUUCCAUGCAAAAUGAUCGAUCGCAUAAUGAUCAUUGCUUAAGGAAAGCCUUCUGGUUCCACGUUGACUACGGUAAAAGUCAAAACAAAUUUUUUGGUAAGCACCAUCUCAAAUUUCGUAAAGGAGAGACUUCAAUACAAAAUCUAUUCUUUUGGGAGUGAUCGGUCAACCGGUACGGAUACUACACGUGCCUCUUAAAAUUUUUCUAUCGUUUCGCGUAAAUCUAUGAAAUAGCAUAUAUUCUCUCGUCCACAACUACGUCAGCAAAAGGCGUUGGCAAUGAAAACUGUUCAAGGUGAAAAAGAUGAGUCUCAGGAGAUUCGGUUUGUUUAGCUGAGUCAUAAGAUCACGUUUGUCGAGUCAAAAGCCGCGGGAGCACGGACCCCAUCUCCGGGGACACCCCCUGUAGCUUUUGAUGCCGAAGGCAUCCCAAUCUGCCCCUUUGAGAGGGUCCGUCUCAGGAUCUUACUGAGGUCGUCCGUUAAAAUUUAUUCAUUCGAAGGUCAACCAUAGGCGACGAUAUUUCCAGCCACACGAAGAUCAAGCGCAUAGUCCCUGAAAUUAAUCUCAACGCGAAACUACUUGGUCCAGUACACGUAUUCUGUAUAAAGUCUCUUCGUUAAGAUUUCAAAUCCAGUUUCUGUCACGCGAAAUGAGGUCGCGAUUAUCUCCCCCCGUCAUGAAGUACAUCUCGGGAUGUUGAAUAAUUAUUUAUCGUUUUAUUAUAAUUCGCGAAACUUUCAAGACACUUCUUAUACGACCUCACUAUGGUUUUCGGUUCGGCCAUGAUAUAUCCAAGUAACUUGAAAAGCUCUCAAAGUGUUGAAGCACCCUCGAGAAUUCUUGGCACACUAACCCGGCAUAAAGGUACUCCUGACAAGUGGCUACCAGAAGUAGUUCACACCCUAUAAACUUAUCUCCAAGGUGGUCUUGAGACCAGUACCAAAAGAGUGCCAGCUAAUUUUCUCUUAAAGAGACUAACCAUACGUCUCUUGGCUGACAAGUCUCUAAACUGGUCUCGCAAAAAUGAACUAUACUGACUAGGUAUACCAAAGUGUCUCAGUGUCAAAGGAAGGUUCGCAGCGACUAACAAGCUUGACGUCUGCCAGUCGUAGUGUUAAAAGAACCUCAGAAAGCGGAAGCAGGGAAGCUGCGCUAAAGAUGAUCUCGUAGAGGCUGUUGAGAGAUUCGCGUCAUCGAGUUAGUUCACGCGUGAAGAAGUACUUACCGUGGUAAGCAAAGCAAGAGAGUACGAAGAAGGCAUCGAGACGGUGAUUACCAGCCGAAGGAGGCAACGAGGCUAAGGUCGGCUUCCGUCCAUGACCCCCGGCAAUUACCACUUGGCGCCCUUCGCUCUUUAGGCAGUCCACAGAGCAGUUUUGCAUAUUGCAACAAGGCCCGUGUAUUGUUGCAAAAGGGAAAAAGGGUUCGCCUGCUGGUCGAUGACCCAGUUACGUUCAUAGGGUUAAUUGCCUCAAAAUGAACGGCACGAGCUUGCAUCUUGUCUUUGUGCAGCUCUUUGUGCCGGAUAGUCAGGACUUUUGAGAAGCCUCCACAGGAACUUGGUAUACCUACUGCAUACUGAGAAGUUGGAAUUGCAGCUCGUAAGUGCAAAGGGAUGUCUGAAGUUUCGCAGGCAUUUUAGGACCACUUUUGAGAAGAGAGCAUUCAUUUUUCAAAAAGUCCGUUCCGGAUGGCCGGGAGGAAUUGCGACCGAUUCGCCGCGCGGAUGCUAAUGGUUUCGAAUUAAACCGUCCGUUUAUUCAGCAUCAAUGACAUUUGCAUAGCGGCGGAUGAAAAAGGAAAAAUGUUAAAUACACGAACCCGUUGACUUGUCGGCCAUGUUCGAGGCAUCAUUAGUGCGCUGUAGAAUCUCGUCGAAGUCUCCAACGUGUCCCUUGGGAUCGAAUUGAGGAAGAGCAAGCUAUAAGAGACGUUCUGGGCGGGACAGCAAUUUCAACGUUUUACAACUCACUGGGGACUGAUUCUCAUUUGCGUGUCAAAGCACGAAAGCCGAGCAAUUUGCGGUAUUUAUUGUUUAUUUGAAGAUUUACGGCAAUCGGAAGACAGAAGGAACACUGGAGAGUAUAUGGACAGGACGGAUGUGGAGACAAACUACAAGUGAGGAACUUCAGCAGCUGAUGAGCCGUAACCGAUCGGGGAACAAUAACCCUCCGCAAGAAGUACCGCUAUCUUUCAUUCUAUAUGGAUACCCUAGCAAGAGAGAAACUGCACGACCUUUAUCUUCGCAGAACUGUAAUCUUUAUUGUACCUAUAGAUUUGCCAAAUUUUGUGCUAAAGGAUAAAUGCAAAAAUGUUGUCAAAAAGGAAGA